GUUACAAAAAAAGAUCUCAGCCAUCCAAUCUGCACCAAAUCAAGAUUGUUUAAUCUUGCGCACAUGAGCCUCUGAAUCUAACGGUUUAGAAAAACAACACAUCUCAACCAUCGAAAAUACCUAGCCUUUUCCUUUUGCCAUCUCCCACUUUGGAAAAACCGAAAAAGAAAGGAGCACCCACAAAGUGCAGAAAGAAAGCCCAAUGUUCACUGCUCUCUGCUUCUUUCCUCAUUUCAGAAAAGAAAAAAUUAAAAAAAUAAAAAAUUGAAGAAUUCCUUCUUCACUCUGCACUCUCUUUACUCUUCUAUCAUUCCCUUUUUUUGGAUCAAAGACAUAAUAUAUAGAAAAAAAUUUGUAAAAUCUAAAUUCAUUUAAUGAUUUUUUUUAUGGAAAUAAAAUAUGUAGAAAAAGCCAAGCAAGGACAAGAUCUGAAUUCCAAGGAGAGCUCAAAACAGACAAGCAAACAACACUUCCCAACACUCUCAUCAGAGAAUAAACAUAAGUAAACAAGGUGAUUCUCAUCCUCAUUAUUCUCCAUGCUCCCUCACUCUCAUUCAACCAAUCUCAGCCGUUGAUCUUCCCCCUUCCCUGAUCCAUGACCCUUAUGUCCUUCAUAUCUAGGGUUUCCAUUUCCAACACGAUCAUCGUCUCCCGCCGCCACCAUGUCUUCCAAGAUCAGCGGCCAGGUUUCGCCUCAGCCCUGUCCCCACAUCCUCGACUUCCGCUCCCGCAACGGCUCCAAGCCGUUUCGCGCCCUCCAAGACUGCAUCCGAGUGAAGCCGCCCGGCGGUGGCGCCGCCAUUCGGAGGGAACCCUCCGAGGUCCCCCGGUGCGGUACGUGCGAGGAAUCCUCCCGUCCCAGGCUCUACGCGUGCGUCGCCUGCGCCGCUGUUUUCUGCCACGCGCCUCCACUUCACUCCCACGCGUCGUCUCACGCGCUUUCCAUCCCCGGCCACGAGAUCGCAGUCGACGUCGACCGCGCUGAGCUCUUCUGCUGCGCGUGUCGUGACCAGGUGUACGAUCGCGACUUCGACGCCGCCGUAGUCCUCGCUCAAACCAUCACCGCCACCGCCACCACCUCCACCUCCGGAUCCACCGGAAUGCAAUGCCACAUCGCUGGAUCUCAGCCGGAAAACCUACGAAAGCGCCGUCGAGUAGAUUACCGCCCGUGGGCCCCAGAUUCAAGAGAACACGUCAUCAUCGGAAACCAUUCGAUACCUCUCAACGACACGACCAAUGCCUCAUCGAUUUCGUCAACAGAAUUACCUUGGGGAUUACGCGGAUUGAAUAAUUUGGGGAAUACUUGCUUUAUGAAUUCAGUUUUACAAGCAUUGCUCCAUACGCCGCCUUUGCGAAACUACUUCUUAAGCGAUCGGCAUAACAGAUAUUAUUGUCAGCAAAAGAAUGGUGCUCUUAAUGGUACUAAAAAUUCAAGAUUGUGUUUGGCUUGUGAUAUGGACGCGAUGUUUUCGGCUGUGUUUUCGGGGGAUCGGACUCCUUAUAGUCCAGCUAAGUUCUUGUACAGUUGGUGGCAACAUGCGGCAAAUUUGGCUAGUUAUGAGCAGCAGGAUGCCCAUGAAUUUUUCAUUUCCAUGCUUGAUGGAAUUCAUGAAAAGGUGGAGAAGGAUAAAAGGAAGUCCCAGAGUCCAGGCAGUGGAGAUUGUUGCAUUGCACACAGAGUAUUUUCUGGUAUUCUGCGAUCUGAUGUCAUGUGUAUGGCUUGUGGUUUCACAUCCACAACAUAUGAUCCAUGUGUAGAUAUCUCCCUGGACUUGGAACCAAACCAGGGAGGUUCUGGGAAGUCUUCAUCCACAAAAUCCCACAAUUCUUUCAAUGUUGAGGCAGAUUUCGUUGGCUCCAGCCAAACCUGUGGAAUAUCUACCUUAAAGGGUUGCUUAGAAAGAUUUACAAGAGCUGAGAAGUUGGGCUCUGACCAGAAAUUUUUCUGCCAAAAGUGUCAGGUGAGACAAGAAUCUCUUAAGCAGAUGUCCAUAAGAAAGCUUCCAUUGGUAUCGUGCUUUCAUAUUAAAAGAUUUGAACAUUCUUCAAUACGAAAGAUGUCGAGGAAGGUUGAUCGGUAUCUGCAGUUCCCAUUUUCAUUGGACAUGGCUCCAUAUCUUUCUUCUUCCAUCUUGAGGAGUCGAUUUGGAAACAGGAUCUUCCCUUUUGAUGCAGAUGAACAAGAUGCAUCGAAUGAGUUAUCAUCAGAAUUUGAGUUGUUUGCUGUCGUCACACACUCGGGUAGAUUAGAUGCUGGCCAUUAUGUGACUUAUUUGCGAUUAAGUAAUCAAUGGUACAAGUGUGACGAUGCUUGGAUUACUAGAGUUAAUGAGAACAUUGUGAGAGCCGCACAAGGGUACAUGAUGUUUUAUGUACAGAAGAUGCUAUACUAUAAAGCAAGUGAAAAGCAAGCUGCCUCAGGAUAUGAUGUUCAGAGAUGAGAAUUUGGUUUUUAAUUCAAAUCAUAUAGGGCCGAAGAUAGGCUGCAUCAUUUGAAGGUGGUUAAUAUGGAAUCACUCAUCAGAUGCCAUGCCUAGUUUUGUAUACCAUGAAAACAAGUUUAGUCAAGCUGCUCUGCUCAUUGGUAAAAGACUGGGCUGCUCUUCACUCAGAUUGGAGUUUCAAGUGAGCCUAAAUUUUUGAGGCACUCCAAUAUUCAGGAAAAUCAAUUUUAUAAGGAUCAUCUAUGGCAUGUGGAGAGUUGAUAAGUGAUAAACCAGGCACUUCAAACAUAUUGACUAUUUAAAUACCAAAAUGUACAAUGCGUUUUACGAGAGCAGUAAAGGUUGAACUGGUAAUUCCCUUGUUUUCAAGCUCUGGGGUCACUUUGUCUUUGACCAAUUUCCUUUUUUAAAUGAUCAAUGAAAGCUAAGCCUAAGGUUGUGAUUUACCUGCAUGGAUGAUGGUACCUUCAUUCAACUCCUGAUCCCUAAUUGUAUUUGUAACCAUCAACCAGGUUAAACGUUUCAUAUGUUCGGCAAUUAGAGAAGUAGCAUAUCGAGUUUUAAAAGUGUUA